rnacentral:tRNA from 1 species
UGUGGUGUAGCUCAGAGGUAGAGCGGCCCUCAAAGUGGGCGGCGUCGCUGGCUCGAAACCAGCCACCACACC